UUAAAGGGAAGUAUACAUACUCUACAAUCCAUGUAAACUGCAUUAAGUUUACCAUUCAAUGAAUCAAACUGGGGAACAGAUUAAGCUGCAGCAACAGCUUCCGUGGGCUUUGCCUCGGGUUCUGCUGGUUUCGCCUCAGUUUCCGCAGGCUUCACCUCGGUUUCGGCUGGCUUCACCUUGGUUUCGGCCAGAGCUUCUGCUUCCCAAAAGGCAGUCUUCUUUCCGGUCUUUGACACUGUCUGCAGCACAGCAUCAGGCUGGACGUUGCCCUUCACAGUCACUUUCUGUU
rnacentral:lncRNA from 1 species